GACGAACGCUGGCGGCGUGCUUAACACAUGCAAGUCGAACGGAAAGGCCCUGCUUUUGUGGGGUGCUCGAGUGGCGAACGGGUGAGUAACACGUGAGUAACCUGCCCUUGACUUUGGGAUAACUUCAGGAAACUGGGGCUAAUACCGGAUAGGAGCUCCUGCUGCAUGGUGGGGGUUGGAAAGUUUCGGCGGUUGGGGAUGGACUCGCGGCUUAUCAGCUUGUUGGUGGGGUAGUGGCUUACCAAGGCUUUGACGGGUAGCCGGCCUGAGAGGGUGACCGGCCACAUUGGGACUGAGAGGCGGCACAGACUCCUACGGGAGGCAGCAGUGGGGAAUAUUGCACAAUGGGCGGAAGCCUGAUGCAGCAACGCCGCGUGCGGUAUGACGGCCUUCGGGUUGUAAACCGCGUUCGCCUGUGACGAAGCGUGAGUGACGGUAAUGGGUAAAGAAGCACCGGCUAACUACGUGC
rnacentral:rRNA from 1 species